UAAGGGCGUUGAAGCAUGAUCGUAAGGACAUGUGGAGCGCUUAGAAGUGAGAAUGCCGGUGUGAGUAGCGAAAGACGGGUGAGAAUCCCGUCCACCGAUUGACUAAGGUUUCCAGAGGAAGGCUCGUCCGCUCUGGGUUAGUCGCGUCCUAAGCUGAGGCCGACAGGCGUAGGCGAUGGAUAACAGGUUGAUAUUCCUGUACCACCUAUAAUCGUUUUAAUCGAUGGGGGGACGCAGUAGGAUAGGCGAAGCGUGCGAUUGGAUUGCACGUCUAAGCAGUAAGGCUGAGUAUUAGGCAAAUCCGGUACUCGUUAAGGCUGAGCUGUGAUGGGGAGAAGACAUUGAGUCUUCGAGUCGUUGAUUUCACACUGCCGAGAAAAGCCUCUAGAUAGAAAAUAGGUGCCCGUACCGCAAACCGACACAGGUAGUCAAGAUGAGAAUUCUAAGGUGAGCGAGCGAACUCUCGUUAAGGAACUCGGCAAAAUGACCCCGUAACUUCGGGAGAAGGGGUGCUCUUUAGGGUUAACGCCCAGAAGAGCCGCAGUGAAUAGGCCCAAGCGACUGUUUAUCAAAAACACAGGUCUCUGCUAAACCGUAAGGUGAUGUAUAGGGGCUGACGCCUGCCCGGUGCUGGAAGGUUAAGAGGAGUGGUUAGCUUCUGCGAAGCUACGAAUCGAAGCCCCAGUAAACGGCGGCCGUAACUAUAACGGUCCUAAGGUAGCGAAAUUCCUUGUCGGGUAAGUUCCGACCCGCACGAAAGGCGUAACGAUUUGGGCACUGUCUCAACGAGAGACUCGGUGAAAUCAUAGUACCUGUGAAGAUGCAGGUUACCCGCGACAGGACGGAAAGACCCCGUGGAGCUUUACUGUAGCCUGAUAUUGAAAUUCGGCACAGCUUGUACAGGAUAGGUAGGAGCCUUUGAAACGUGAGCGCUAGCUUACGUGGAGGCGCUGGUGGGAUACUACCCUAGCUGUGUUGGCUUUCUAACCCGCACCACUUAUCGUGGUGGGAGACAGUGUCAGGCGGGCAGUUUGACUGGGGCGGUCGCCUCCUAAAAGGUAACGGAGGCGCUCAAAGGUUCCCUCAGAAUGGUUGGAAAUCAUUCAUAGAGUGUAAAGGCAUAAGGGAGCUUGACUGCGAGACCUACAAGUCGAGCAGGGUCGAAAGACGGACUUAGUGAUCCGGUGGUUCCGCAUGGAAGGGCCAUCGCUCAACGGAUAAAAGCUACCCCGGGGAUAACAGGCUUAUCUCCCCCAAGAGUUCACAUCGACGGGGAGGUUUGGCACCUCGAUGUCGGCUCAUCGCAUCCUGGGGCUGUAGUCGGUCCCAAGGGUUGGGCUGUUCGCCCAUUAAAGCGGUACGCGAGCUGGGUUCAGAACGUCGUGAGACAGUUCGGUCCCUAUCCGUCGUGGGCGUAGGAAAUUUGAGAGGAGCUGUCCUUAGUACGAGAGGACCGGGAUGGACAUACCUCUGGUGUACCAGUUGUCGUGCCAACGGCAUAGCUGGGUAGCUAUGUGUGGACGGGAUAAGUGCUGAAAGCAUCUAAGCAUGAAGCCCCCCUCAAGAUGAGAUUUCCCAACUUCGGUUAUAAGAUCCCUCAAAGAUGAUGAGGUUAAUAGGUUCGAGGUGGAAGCAUGGUGACAUGUGGAGCUGACGAAUACUAAUCGAUCGAAGACUUAAUCAA
rnacentral:rRNA from 1 species